GAUGAACGCUAGCGGCAGGCUUAACACAUGCAAGUCGAGGGGUAACAGGAGAGCUUGCUCUCGCUGACGACCGGCGCACGGGUGCGUAACACGUAUGCAACCUACCUUCUACUGGAGCAUAGCCAGGUGAAAACCUGAGUAAUACUCCAUAACACUUAACGAGGCAUCUCGAAGAGUUAAAAGUUCCGACGGUGGAAGAUGGGCAUGCGGAUGAUUAGUUAGUUGGUGAGGUAACGGCUCACCAAGACUCCGAUCAAUAGGGGGCCUGAGAGGGUUAUCCCCCACACUGGUACUGAGACACGGACCAGACUCCUACGGGAGGCAGCAGUGAGGAAUAUUGGACAAUGGGCGAAAGCCUGAUCCAGCCAUGCCGCGUGCAGGAAGAAUGCCCUACGGGUUGUAAACUGCUUUUGUUAGAGAAGAAACCUCGGGACGUGUCCCGGGCUGACGGUAUCUUUCGAAUAAGGACCGGCUAACUCCG
rnacentral:rRNA from 1 species